GAUGAAAAAUAAAACACAGCUGGCCAUCAUGCACCCAUGUCCCAGUUGGAACAUUUCUAAAGCCGGCCAAUGUAAUUCACCUCUGUCAAACCGUAUGUUUUUUAGGGCAUUUCACAUGGUGGCAUUUCAACACUUUACAUGCACUAAUUCUACCACCAGACUCUGUCAAACAUUUUUCUGGUGUUAUUUUUCACUCACACAUUCUACUUUGGGCAUAGAUUCUAAGCUCCUGUUAGGCGUUACUGCCAAAGGACACCCCAAUAUGUACUCGGCAACAUCUCCCGAGUACAGCGAUACCACCCAUGCAUACGUUUGUCGGGUUCACUGGGGAGUGCAAAGCAAAAUGUCUGAUAUGCGUUUUUCAAAUUUUACAGAUCUUGUUUGCCGAUCUUCCUUUUGGGGGCCUUAUCAGAUAUCCCAAUGUAUUUUUUUGCCAUGAGCAUGCAUAUAUUUGAAAAGUUGAC